rnacentral:rRNA from 1 species
UACGUAGGGGGCAAGCGUUGUCCGGAUUUAUUGGGCGUAAAAGGCUUGUAGGUGGCCACGCCAAGUCGGAUGUGAAAUCUCCCGGCUCAACUGGGAGGGGUCAUUCGAUACUGGCGGGCUCGAGGCCGGUAGGGGGAAGUGGAAUUCCCGGUGUAGUGGUGGAAUGCGUAGAUAUCGGGAGGAACACCAGUGGCGAAGGCGGCUCUCUGGGCAGAUACCGACGCUGAGAUGCGAAAGCGUGGGAAGCAAACAGG